UUUUGUGUAUGUUGUGAGUAGCACAGGAAAUAACCAAGGAAGGGGCAAAAGUAACCUUUUAUUUCAUCUGUGAAAAAAAAAAAGAGGUUUUAUGUGUUUUUGUUUGUUUGUUUUUUUAACCUCUGAAGAGAGAACCUGGGGAUAAGGGAUGUGAACAGCUAAACCAGACCAUACGGCGGGCUUCUACCACGCUUAUCUGACCUCCUUUAAAGAGAGGAAAAUCCAAAUAGCCUUGUCUGAGUUGUAAAGACUAGCUAGCAAGACUCUCGCUUUUAAAAAUAGACUAAGACUACUCUGGAGCAACUGGAAUACAAAUUAGCUCCUACAUUUCCAAGGACCUGCAUUGCCUGUGCUGCUUCAGACCCUGCAAGCUGCGUUGUGUGACUGGAUCCCAUCUAGAGCCUCCUAGUAAGUGACAUCAGUAAGACACUCAAUCUUUGUGAUUGUAAGAGACAACAAGGAUCAUAACUGGUUUAUAAGAUAGGAAUUUGGAUAAAAUAAGAUCCCAUGAAUUGCCGUCACUAGUCCAUCAAUCCAGUAUACUACCUCCAGCAGCAGCCAGUAUCAUGAUGGGAGUUGGCAAUCCCCAUAACACAUCUGACCAGUUAGGCAAUAUU